GGGGAGUUCAGGGCAGAGGGAUGGGGUGCUCGGCUAUAGGGGUGCUCCCAGUCCCCUGCCCUGAGCGGCUCAGGGCAGGAGGCUGGAAGGGAUAUGCCCUGUUUGACCCCCUUUCCCCAGGCUCCGUCCCUACCUCUCUCUGCGUCCUCUACGGAGCUGUGUGCAUGCUGUCGCUCUUCCCCCUCGCUAGGGCCAGCAGCUGAUUGGCAGAGGGAAAGAGAGGAGGAGGGGCCGGAAAGCACAGCUGGGGGAAGAAAAGGGGGAUGGGGGAAGCUUGGCUGCCGCAGAACCAAGCUUCUGCCUCCUGCCCCAGCAGGGGAGAGCGGUAGGCAGGGGGGCUGAGUGGGGUUGGGGGCCGGGACUGCGGCAGGGAGCUGCGUGCCACUCAAAAUCGGCUCGCGUGCCGUAGGUUGCCGACCCCUGUGCUAAGGUAACCUCCAUUUCUUUUUUCUUACAUCAUGGUGUUCAGCCAAACACACUAUGCUGUAAUUACAGCUGCUGUUUCUACUCGCUCUGAGUUGAUAUGGAAACAUUCCCAGACAAGGUGGCAAGCCAAUCAGUAGUGAGAUCUGUCAGAGUUACAAAACUGGCAGCGAUUUGGAGCACCAGUCAGAUCCCACCCAGCCCUGCAGGGAGAAGAUAGAGCUGUCGGGGUAACCCAGACUGAAUCUCUGGGUUGAAUCUCAGUGCCAUUUCCUGUAAUUUUACAGAAGUCAAUAAGAUUUAGACUGGGAAACACCACGAAGAAGGAAUUGUAGACUGGAGGCCAAAUGUCUUCAGGACAUCAUUGAACCAAAGACAGUGUGUGAGCCUAACAGCUGCGAUAAGGAACAGAAGCAGAGUUUAAAGGACUUCCCUGGGUUACAUGUCAGUUUGCAGCAAGAACAAGAAAUGAAACCAGAUGUUCUGGUUCCCAGUCACACACUUUAACAACAAAGCUAUUCCACCUGACAGAAGACAGCAUUCCAUUCGAAGUAUGGCAUAAUGGUAGCGUGAAGAGUGCCACUGAUGUUCUUAUUUCUUCUUUCAUAUACAUGCAUUCCUAUGAUACAUCAUUGUAGUAUGUGAAAACCUGUAUUCUAAAAUAUUUCUAUUUUCUAUGGCAGCUGCUACAUUUAUGUAGUGUGGGAGAGAGAAGCCUCAAGAGGUAUAUUAUCAGUGUCUAUAAAUAUCUACAAGGUAACACUAGAACAGAAGGGAAUUAUUCUUAUUCUCAGAAGGGAGGAAUGGCCUAAGUUUAAGGAAAGAAAAAUGUUUUAAUUUAGACAUUACAGAAAAAGAUUUUCAUAAGAAGAAGAAUCAAUACUUGAGCACUCUACCAGAGGAGGUUUGAGUCAUCAUCACUGCAGAUAUUCGGGAUCAGAUUACAUAAAAUAAUGAUGUCGUGAUAAUCCUGAAAAACUGGGGGACCCAGACUGUUCAAUUUCUGACCCAUAAAGUUCAUGACAGUACAAAUCUCUCUCUAUUCUGCAAGCAGAAAUCAUUAGAGAAUACAAUAAAACAAAUCUUACCCUC